UGCUAUUUACAGAUAGGCGUGGGAUAGAAAAAAAUGACUAGAGUUUAUUCACUCAGUUUCCCAUUUCAUUCUUGAGGAGGUGAGGAGUUUUGCUUUUCAUGCCGGAGUUCUCUCCACAGGCAACACACUCAGCAGAGGAAAGGCCUGUGAACUUUGGCUCAUGAAAUAGCACGUCAGGAAAUGCCAAUAUAUUAAUGGACUUUUAGACUUCCCUGAAAAUAUUUAUUAACGGGCUCCUUAGACUUUCCCAUCCUGAUUUCAAGACAGUGGACACACUGUUCAAAAUGGACAGUCCAGCUUUCAUCUAGCUUCUCACAGAGACAAGAGUGCCUCUGGCAAAGUAAUUAUUGUGGUUCAUGGAGUUGCCAUUCACCAACCUGGAAUUGGCCUUCAUCUUGCUGGCUUUUGUUGUCUUCUCCCUAUUCAGUCUGGCUUCCAUCUACAGUGAUCCUGAGGAGAGAAAUGCAGAGAAAGAAUGUCAAUGGGAGGAAAAAAGAAGACAUAAGAAGUCCAAGAAAAAGAAAAGCAGUCCAGAAGGUCAGAGAUUCAUUGAAGAAAUUUAGAAUUAAACUUUCUGUCCUAAGAUCUUAAAGAUGGAAAUAUUCUCCAUUCUAGGGAGGAUGGACUCCAAAGUUUCCAUCUGGAGUCAGAAAAAUGAAGGGAUAUCCAUGAGGAUGGAAGAAGCUAUACACUGAAUCAGAAAUAUCUAUAAUAACCAUUAACAAACUGCAUCCUGGAAGUGAUCAUGGCACCUUUUUGAUUAUUCCAUUUUAUAGUCUGAAAAAUGGUAGUAUUCAUAGUAAUAAGAUUAUGACCAGAAAUAAAGGAUCCAAAUCACAUGAAUUGCCAUUUUCAAAGAAUAGAGAAAGGAAAAUCUUCAUUCACUUUUUUUUUUCAUUUGAUUUUCCUUAUCAAUUUCAUUAAGGACUAAAGGAAAUGAUGGCUUAUUUGUUUAACAUCUGAAAAGGAAAUGAAAAAAAUGAAUUCAAUUUAUUUAGUGGAACUUUAUAAUUCAAUUAAAAUGAACUUUGAAGAAGGAAUUGUGACCAUUAAAUCAUGAUAUUUCCUUUUUUAAGAAUUAUCUGUCCAUCUUGACUUGAUGUUAAGAAAAAAGUUUCCUAAUAUUAGGUUGUCUGAAAGUAGAAUGGACUGCCUUAUGAGUAAGUAGACAGCUUUCAUUAGGAGGCCUUUAAAUGGAGACUGAAUAGUUACUAUUUAGAUCCAUUAUGGUAGGAAUUUCUUUUUGAGUAUUGGCUGUUGAGGUAUUAUAGUUAUAUGAAAAUUCAUGGGCCUGAUCCCACUACUGGUUGACACAGAAGCCUUGACUUGCUCUAUUUCUAUUCUGGGCACUGAUUUGCCUAUCCUUAGAAAACCUUGCUCAAUCACUUACUAAGUGGAAGGAAGGAGAGUUUCACUAUAUUGCUACUGAAAUUUUUGUGAAUUUAGACCUACUACAACUUAGAAAUCCUCAAGGGAUCCACUAGGUUCAGCCCUACCUAGUAAUAACUAGGAUUGCAGACAUCUACCAUCAAACUCAGAAAUCACAAAAUUUCAAUGUUAUUAUAUAUGAGUGAGAUGGGGAAUCUGAACUUUUCACUCUCUGAUGUCAGAUGGCUUAAAAGAUCAAAAUUAUAUAAAAAUUGAUAAAAUGAUUUGAUAAAUUUAGUUACAUAGUGAAAAAUCACAGUGAAAAUGUUGAUCUCUAUCUGUGCUAUGACUAUUAAUCAGCAUUAUAUAAGCAAUCAGAAAAGUGUAUCAUAUUGUGUCCUCCCCCCGCCUCUUUCUCAAAAAAGCUAUCAGCAGCCAGUAUCCAAAAGGAAUUCCUACCAUUACAGAUUUAACAAGUAGUUAUCCAAGACUCUAUUUAAAGACCUCCAAUGAAGGCUACCCACUAUUUCUGAAGGAAGCCCAUUCUACUUUCAGCCAGUCCUAAGAUUAAGAGGCUUUUUUCCUGAUAUCAAGUCAAAAUUGGCCCCUUGUAACUUUCACUCAUUAUUCCUAGUCCUGGCCUCUGGAAAGAAAAUUUAAUGUAACUUCUCUAAUACAAUUCCGUAGACAUAACAUGAUCUCAACUUGAUAAAUUAUAAGUACUUAAUUCACAUGAUUUUCAGACUUCUUUUUGCUUCUAACUGAAGGGUAUUUAAGGAUCUGAAAGAAGUGGCCCAAAAUAGUAAGAUAAGGCACAAGGAAAGAUCCAUCCACUGAGUGCUAACCUGAUAUAUGUUUUAUUGCCUACAUCAUCCCCACACUAUACUUACUUAACCAUCAAGUUAGUUUUUUAAUACUAUUUUACUUUUUUCCAAUUUCCAUGUGAAGACAAUUUUAACAUUUUUUAAUAUGAAAUUUUGAGUUCUAAAUUUUCUCACUCCCCCCAAGACAGUAAACAAUUAUAUAUGUGACCUUAUGUAAAAUAUUCCAUAUUAGUCUUGUUGAAAAGAAGCAAUAGAAAAAAAAAAAAGAAAAAAGCAAAGAAAGUAAAAAUAAUAUGAUUCAGGCUGCAUUCAGACUCCCAAUUCUUUAUCUGAAUGUGAAUAGUAGUUUCUAUCAUGAGUUUUUUGGACUUGUUUCAGCUUAUCAUAUUGCAGAGAAGAGCUAAAUCAUUUAUAACUGAUCAUCACACAACAUUGCUGAUACUGUAUACAAUGUUUUCCUGGUGCUGCUCACUUCAUUUUGCAUCAGUGCAUGUAAAUAUUUCCAUGUUUUCAUGAAAUCUAUCUGCUCAUCAUUUCUUAUGGUCCAUUGUAUUCCAUUAGAGUCAUAUAACAUAAUUUGUUUAAUCAUUUCAAUUUUUCUGCCCUAUUCUCCCUCUUCAUACAUCAAGCAAUCUGAAAUAGGUUAUACAUGUACAAUCAUAUUAAACAUAUUUCCACAUUAGUCAUGUUCUGAAAGAAGCAGCAGAAAAAAAGAAAGAAAAAAUGACACCCCCCCCAAAAAAAAAAGUGAAAAUAUAUAGUAGGGGCAGCUAGAUGGCACAGCGGAUACCUGAAUUCAGCAGAACCUGAGUUCAAAUCCAACUUCAGACACUUAACACUUACUAGCUGUGUGACCCUGGGGAAGUUACUUAACCCCAGUAAUUCCAUCGGUGGUCAUACUCUUGAUUUCCAAUUCUUUGUCACCAUAAAAAGAAUCAAGGCAAAUUUAAUGAAGGUAGUUCUAAUAAAAUAAAAAUGUUAUCGAUGGUGCAGACUCACCUAACAAGCUAAACUUACACAAAUCAGAUACAAUCAUAGAAGGCAUUCCCCUAGAACACCAUUAUCUCUAAUUGCCCUUACCUGGAAUUAUAUUAGGAGAUACUAAAAAUAUAGCUCUCAUCUAUACCUAGAGAGAUAUUGUAAGGACUGAGUGUGGAUCACAACAUGGUAUUUUUAUUUUUUGUUGUUGCUUGCUUGCAUUUUGUUAUUUUUUUUUCCUUUUUGGUCUGAGUUUUCUUGUGCAGCAUGAUAACUGUGGAAAUAUAUAUAGAAGAAUUGCACAUUUUUAACAUGUAUUGGAUUACUUGAUAUCUAGGAGAAAGGGGGCUAUCUAGGGAGGCAGGGAGAAAAAUAUUUGGAACAAGAUAUAUACAUAUAUAUAUAUAUCUCAGAGAAUUAGGAAAACAUUGUAUAUAAUAGCAGCCCUGUAUGAUGAUCCACUUUGAUAGACUUUGCUCUUCUCAAUAAUAUAAUGAUCUAAGACAAUUCCAAAGGACCCAUGAUGAAAAAAUUUUAUCUACAUCCAGAAAAAGAACUAUGGAAUCUGAAUAUAGAUCAAAGCAUACUAUUUUCAUUUUUUUGAUACUUUUUUCUUUCUCGUGCUUUUUUUCCUUUUUGUUCUAAUUUUUCUUUACAACUAAUGGAAAUAUGCUUAAUAUGAUUGUACAUGUAUAUACUAUGUCAAAUUGCUUGCUGUCUUGGGGGGGAUGGAGAGGGAAGAAGAAAAAAAUGGAAAUCAAAAUCUUAUAAAAGUAAAUUUGAAAACUAAAAAAUUCUAAUAGAAAUAGAAAUAAACCAAAUUAUAUAUUUAUGCACACAAAGAUGUACCAUACAUACAAAUGUAUGUACAAAUAUGUGUGUGUGCAUGUAUCUGAUAUAAUUUAUGUCUAGUUUUCCCAAAAAUGUGGGUAAUUGGAAUUCUGAACUCCUCUAUGAUCAUUAAAGGUAACACAAGCAAGUCAGCUCUGGGACAAUAUUUUACAUCAAAUAUAGAAUAUUCAAAGGACUCAAAAGAGCUUAAAACAAUCAUAGAAACAUACAAAGGACUUACAUAACUCAUCACCUUCUGAAAGGGAACUGAUCUGGGGUUGCUAUCAAAGCAACUUUUCAACAUUCCAGAGAACUCCUCUUUCCUACAGAGGUUUACACAUUCUCCCUAUAACCUGUGGGGUCAUUUUGUCAUUGUCAUAAGUGACAAUUUUAUACUCCCUUCCCCAAAAAAGUUAAACAUACUUUGGAAGGUGCUGACUACUAUAUUUGAUGUCUCCACUUCCUCUCAUUUCACUGUCUUUUUUACUGAAAUUAUUUUCUCCAAAGUGACCAGUGAUCUCUUAAUUUAAAAAUCUAAUGUUCUUUCCUCGUUCCCAAUCCUUCUUAAGCUUUUGACAUUGCCAAUCAACCUCUUCUCCUGGAUUCUCAUCUCUGAGUUUUCAUCAUGCUUCUCUCAGUUCUCCUCCCAUGUCUGACUGCUUCUCAAUCUCCUUUGCUUUAACUAUAUUAAUGGCAUAGCCACUAACUGGACAUAUGCUCCAAGGUUUUGCUUGAGACCCUCUUUUUUUUCUACUAUACUCAUUUGGUGAUCUCAACUCCCAUCUUUAUAACUAUACAUUUGUGUUCUACAUAACAUACAUCUUAUAUAUCUAACUGAUAUAUAUGUAAUAUUAUAUACUAGAUGUCUCUAUUGCAUACAUCUAACCCUAGUCUCUCUCCUGAGAUCCAAUCCAGCAUCACCAAUUGUCUCUCAGAAAUUUUUUUAAAAGCAUGUCAAACUCAACAAGCCCAAAAUAAGCCUCAUUAUCUUUCCCUAAAAACUCUCUCCUCUUUCAGACUUCCUUGUUCCUAUCAAGGGCUAUACCAACUUUCAAUCAGCCAGACUCCUCACUCUCCCUCAACACACCUAUCAGUUGCCAAAUAUUGACGUUUCUAUCUUCACAUUUCCUGCACAGGUCUCUUCUCCUUUCCCACAAAUGUUUGUUAGUAUGAACUCUCAUCAGUUCUCAUCUGAACAAUUACAGUUGUAGCUACUUGGUUUCCCUACCUCAACAUCUUCUUGAUUCCAUUCCAUCCUCCACUCAGCUAUCAAAGCGAUUUUCCUAAAGUGUAGGUCUGACCACUUU